CCUUGAGGUCCUGCUCUGCCUGGUUGCCUCGGGGACCUGUAGGGCCUCUAGGUGCGAGGGGGGGAAGAGGCCCUCUAGGGGGGUGGGACGGGUGCAUCUGGGGGAACUGCUGCUGCUGCGGUGGUGGCCGGGGGUGAGGCAUCAAACCCCCUCCCAGAGAGGGAGACAUGGGGGGUGGGCCCAUAGGCGAACGCUGCAUCCCUCCACAAAAUGAGUUAGCAUGCUGGGUGUGGGAGGGAGGACGCACCAGAGGAGAGACCAGGUUGGGCUGGGACAGAAUCUGAAAGGAGGGAGAGGAUUGUUAACAUCAUUAACUCUUUAUAUUAGAAAUCCAAGGAAAAGGUGGUGUUAAGCUGGCCUCUAUCACAAGUGUCAAAUGUUCAUCAUAAUGAUGUGUGUGGUAAGGUGUGGAGAAUCAGUGCAGCUGGUCAGUCCAGUUCAAGUGUUCAGCAGUAUGAUGGCUUGUAGAUGGAAACUGCCUCUGAGCCGGUUGGUAUAAGACCUCAUGCUCUGAUAUCGUGUGGCUGAGGUGUGUGGGAUCCUUGAUGCUGCAGGCCUUCCCCAGCCAGCGUUUAAAGUAGAUGUCCUGGUUGGGUGAGAGCACGGUCCCAGUGAUGUACUGGGCCGUCUUCACCACCCGCUGGAGGGCCUUGAGGUCGUGGACAGAGCAAUUCCUGUACCAGCCCGUGAUGCAACCGGUCAGGACGCUCUCAAUGGUGCGGCGGUAGUAUUUGGAGAGGACCCGGGGCAGCAUGCAGUUUCUUCAGCCGCCUUAGGAAGUAGAGGCGCUGUGGCGCCCCAGUAUGUGUGUGUGCGUUACCUGUGGGUUGAACUGUCCAGGGAAGUGCUGUGUGAUCCUCAUGGCAGCAGAGCUGGGCUGGAACUGUUUCUGGUACAGCAUGCUGUUCAUCUUACUGGACUGGCUGCUGGGAGAUGUAGAGCUGGCCCUGACCAGACAAAUACAUCAGCUCUUGGUAUACUCAUAAAACCGGUAGAAGGUGGGACAGGUUCUGUGUGAGAAUAUGUGUUACCUGUAAGGACUAGGUGUAGUGUGUGUGUUACCUGUAAGGACUAGGUGUAGUGUGUGUGUUACCUGUAAGGACUAGGUGUAGUGUGUGUGUAUGUGUUACCUGUAAGGACUAGGUGUAGUGUGUGUGUAUGUGUUACCUGUAAGGACUAGGUGUAGAGUGUGUGUGUGUGUUACCUGUAAGGACUAGGUGUAGGGGUACCUGUGUGUGUGUGUGUGUGUGUGUGUGUGUGUGUGUUACCUGUAAGGACUAGGUGUGUGUGUGUUACCUGUAAGGACUAGGUGUAGGGGUAGUGUGUGUGUGUGUGUUACCUGUAAGGACUAGGUGUAGGGGUAUUGUGUGUGUGUGUUACCUGUAAGGACUAGGUGUAGGGGUAGUGUGUGUGUGUUACCUGUAAGGACUAGGUGUAGAGGUAGUGUGUGUGUGUUACCUGUAAGGACUAGGUGUAGGGGUAGUGUGUGUGUGUUACCUGUAAGGACUAGAUGUAGGGGUAGUGUGUGUGUGUUACCUGUAAGGACUAGAUGUAGGGGUAGUGCUCCUAGCGCUGUGAGGAGUUGUCCCAGGCUUCAUGUCCAUCCCACUGCCAAACAGCUUCAGGUCCAUCUCACA
ensembl:lncRNA